CGUCUAUAUACGUAUAGCAUAUCAAUAAGCGGAGGAAAAGAAACUAACUAGGAUUCCCUUAGUAACGGCGAGUGAAGCGGGAAGAGCUCAAAUUUGAAAUCUUCAAGGUUUUACCUUGACGAAUUGUAGUUUAAAGAAGUGUUUUCAUGUUGAAGUUUCGGUAAAAGUUCUUUGGAAUAGGACAUCAUAGAGGGUGAGAAUCCCGUAUUUGACCAUUAUUUCAACUGUGUGAUACACUUUCAAAGAGUCGGAUUGUUUGGGAAUGCAGUCCAAAAUGGGUGGUAAAUUUCAUCUAAAGCUAAAUAUUGGCGAGAGACCGAUAGCGAACAAGUACCGUGAGGGAAAGAUGAAAAGAACUUUGAAAAGAGAGUUAAACAGUACGUGAAAUUGUCAAAAGGGAAGCGUUUGACACCAGUGUUGUUUUCUCGAAAAUCAAUUAAAAAUGGCAGGAUUUUGUGUUGUAUUGACUUUAUCAGCUUUCUGCACUUUUUUCUUGUCUUUUUUAGUGCACUUUUCGUUUAACAAGUCAACAUCAAUUUCUUUUGCUGUAAAAGGGUCAUUGGAAGGUGGCUUUCUUUUCGGAGAAAGUGUUUAUAGCCUUUGACUUCUGCAAUCGGAGAGAUUGAGGUCUGCAGCGUAGAUCCUUCGGGGUUAGAUGCAUUUGUGCUAAGUUAUAGCCUUUCAUAGACAACUUGUUGACUAUGAUCAGUCAUGUAGCUUACUCGCUUAUGUCAUUUUACCUACGCUUAGGAUGUUGACGAUCAGCUGAGCGCG
rnacentral:rRNA from 1 species